rnacentral:rRNA from 1 species
CGGGUGCACUGAUCCAGCCGGGCCUUUCCCUCUGUGGAACCCCAUGGCCUUCACUGGCUGUGGUGGGGAAACAGGACUUUUACUUUGAAAAAAUUAGAGUGCUCCAGGCAGGCCUAUGCUCGAAUACAUUAGCAUGGAAUAAUAGAAUAGGACGUGUGGUUCUAUUUUGUUGGUUUCUAGGACCCGCCGUAAUGAUUAAUAGGGACAGUCGGGGGCAUCAGUAUUCAAUUGUCAGAGGUGAAAUUCUUGGAUCUAUUGAAGACUAACUACUGCGAAAGCAUUUGCCAAGGAUGUUUUCAUUGAUAAGGAACGAAAGUUAGGGGAUCGAAGACGAUCAGAUACCGUCGUAGUCUUAACUAUAAACUAUGCCGACUAGGGAUCGGGACGAUGUUAUUCUUUGACGCGUUCGGCACCUUUCGAGAAAUCAAAGUGCUUGGGCUCCAGGGGGAGUAUGGUCGCAAGGCUGAAACUUAAAGAAAUUGACGGAAGGGCACCACCAGGGGUGGAACCUGCGGCUUAAUUUGACUCAACACGGGGAAACUCACCAGGUCCAGACACAGUGAGGAUUGACAGAUUGAGAGCUCUUUCUUGAUUCUGUGGGUGGUGGUGCAUGGCCGUUCUUAGUUGGUGGAGUGAUUUGUCUGCUUAAUUGCGAUAACGAACGAGACCUUAACCUGCUAAAUAGCCCGUACUGCUUUGGCAGUUCGCCGGCUUCUUAGAGGGACUAUCGG